rnacentral:rRNA from 1 species
CCCUUAGAUGUUCUGGGCCGCACGCGCGCUACACUGAUCGGUGCAACAAGCAUCCGUCCUUGGCCGACAGGCCCAGGCAAUCUUUGAACGCCGGUCGUGAUGGGGAUAGACCUUUGCAAUUUUUGGUCUUCAACGAGGAAUUCCUAGUAAACGCAAGUCAUCAACUUGCAUUGAUUACGUCCCUGCCCUUUGUACACACCGCCCGUCGCACCUACCGAUUGAAUGGUCCGGUGAAACCUCCGGAUUGGCGCGUGCCCUCGGGCGCCGCCGAGAAGUUGGUUAAACCUUACCAUUUAGAGGAAGGUGAAGUCGUAACA